GUGAAAUUAAAACAGAUUAUGGACCUUUACUGCACACGCUGGCUGAGUUUGGAUGGCUCCUGACCUGUGUCCUGCCUACACCUAUUGUACGACACGACAGUGAAGGGAAUCUGGCCACAAAGCAAGUUGUUUUUCUUCAGAGACCCGUUUUGUGGAAUUCUGCUGUCCAGACACCAGAGAGGAAAUCCUUAAGGCAAGUUAUUGGGGAGGAAAAAGGCAAAGUCUCUAGCAGAAGUAUCGGAUUAGACACAGCUACUUCUUGCCCUGUAGAAAUUGGACAACCACCUGAUGAGUUUCACCUAUCUCCUUCUAAACAAUGUUGGAUCAAGGAGGGAUCUUCCCAGUAUGGAGGCUUGCCAGGAUUCAGUAGCAGUGAUGGAGUAUUAAGAGAACUGGAUGACGGACAAUUUGAUCAGGAAGAUGGAGUCACUCAGGUCACAUGUAUGUGAUAAAGUAAGUAACAGCAUCAGAUGGACGUGUACAUAAUUCACAAAAAUGUUUUAAAAAGGGGAAAAAAAAAAUCAUACUACUUUAAAUGUAUUGGUAUAAUCCUAUGAGUUUUCCCAGACUCCUUUUGUAUUUUUGUGUGUUUCUUUGUUGUGUUAAUCCUACUGUAGUAAUAAUACUACUGCAAAA